rnacentral:rRNA from 1 species
CCAGACUCCUACGGGAGGCAGCAGUGGGGGAUAUUGCACAAUGGGGGGAACCCUGAUGCAGCGACGCCGCGUGGGUGAAGAAGCGCCUCGGCGCGUAAAGCCCUGUCAGCAGGGAAGAAAAUGACGGUACCUGAAGAAGAAGCCCCGGCUAACUACGUGCCAGCAGCCGCGGUAAUACGUAGGGAGCAAGCGUUGUCCGGAAUUACUGGGCGUAAAGGGCGCGUAGGUGGGCGCUUAAGUCAGGUGUGAAAACUCCGGGCUCAACCUGGAGACUGCACUUGAAACUGGGUGUCUUGAGGGCAGGAGAGGAAAGUGGAAUUCCUAGUGUAGCGGUGAAAUGCGUAGAUAUUAGGAGGAACACCAGUGGCGAAGGCGACUUUCUGGACUGUACCUGACGCUGAGGCGCGAAAGCGUGGGUAGCGAACGGGAUUAGAUACCCCAGUA